ACAUCACUUCACUGUUAAGACACAACCAGGCUCUAAGGACUGGGAGUGGAAUUAUGGAUAUGUACAGUUUUAAAAGUAUUUGAUGUCAGGACCUUUGAAAUAAGACUAUAUUACACGAUCUCAGAAGUAACAACAGUUUACCAUACAAAAAAAUCCACAGCAAUAAACA